GAUAUAGCUGGUUUUCUGCGAAAAUUGUUUUGGCAAAUUGUUUAUUCCUCUAAAAAAUAGUAGGUAUAGCACUGAAUAUCUCGAGGGAGUAUGAAAAUAUUUAUCUCAGAUAUUUAAUCUCAAAAUAACUAUUUCUUAAAAUAAAUAAUCAGACUAUGUGCGAUAAGGUAGAUAGUCGAAAGGGAAACAGCCCAGA
rnacentral:rRNA from 1 species